rnacentral:rRNA from 1 species
CGCGGCCUAUCAGCUUGUUGGUGAGGUAAUGGCUCACCAAGGCGACGACGGGUAGCCGGCCUGAGAGGGUGACCGGCCACACUGGGACUGAGACACGGCCCAGACUCCUACGGGAGGCAGCAGUGGGGAAUAUUGCACAAUGGGCGAAAGCCUGAUGCAGCGACGCCGCGUGAGGGAUGACGGCCUUCGGGUUGUAAACCUCUUUCAGUAGGGAAGAAGCGAAAGUGGCGGUACCUGCAGAAGAAGCACCGGCUAACUACGUGCCAGCAGCCGCGGUAAUACGUAGGGUGCGAGCGUUAUCCGGAAUUAUUGGGCGUAAAGAGCUCGUAGGCGGUUUGUCGCGUCUGUCGUGAAAGUCCGGGGCUUAACCCCGGAUCUGCGGUGGGUACGGGCAGACUAGAGUGCAGUAGGGGAGACUGGAAUUCCUGGUGUAGCGGUGGAAUGCGCAGAUAUCAGGAGGAACACCGAUGGCGAAGGCAGGUCUCUGGGCUGUAACUGACGCUGAGGAGCGAAAGCAUGGGGAGCGAACAGGAUUAGAUACCCUGGUAGUCCAUGCCGUAAACGUUGGGCACUAGGUGUGGGGAACAUUCCACGUUUUCCGCGCCGCAGCUAACGCAUUAAGUGCCCCGCCUGGGGAGUACGG